rnacentral:lncRNA from 1 species
GAAAGACACACAUGCGUUAUAACGGAAAUUUUACUUUUUAUGGAAGUAUGUAUAAUUACACGGAGAGGGCCGACACAGUCUUUACCAGUGGGAACACACUUGAUGACAACUGGGAGUAUAUCCCUGCUGUAUUUGGUACGCUCGCUGGCAUAGCUGUACUGGCUGUGAUUAUUUACCUUGCUGUGCACGUUUGCUCCGUGCGUAUGUCUCGUGGUGAAGGAGACAGGAAAUGAGCGGAAAAAUUCACAAAAGAACUCGGCCUUCCAAAAAGUAUAAAGACCAUGUGUGGAUGGUGUCGUGCUGUAUUUGACUAACUGUUAUUAUGAUGUAAACUGUCCUUCAAUGAAGAUUAGUUUACUGAAGAAAUAGAAAUUGUGUAAAGAUUAUUUAUUUUCGCAUACUGUAGAUUUUUCAUAUGCUAAACGAAAACGGACAACGAAAACUUUUUGUAAAUAUGUUAAAAAAACCCACCUGACGCAUACGCCACCCCAUCCGCUUCACCACCACCACCACCGUCGUCUCGCAGAAUAUCAUAUGAGCCGUGCCAUGAGAAAACCAACAUAGUGGGUAUGC